rnacentral:misc_RNA from 1 species
GAAAUGCGAUAAGUAAUGUGAAUUGCAGAAUUCAGUGAGUCAUCGAAUCUUUGAACGCACCUUGCGCUCCUUGGUAUUCCGAGGAGCAUGCCUGUUUGAGUGUCAUGGAAUUCUCAACUCUAUUUGCUUUUGUGAAUAGAGCUUGGAUUUGGAGGUUUAUUGCUGGUACUUGUGAUCGGCUCCUCUUGAAUGCAUUAGCUCGAACCUUUGCGGAUCAGCUAUCGGUGUGAUAAUUGUCUACGCCGUUGCAGUGAAGCAUAUCAAUGGGCUCGGCUUCCAAUCGUCCUUUACUGGACAAUGACUUUGACCUUUGACCUCAAAUCAGGUAGGAUUACCCGCUGAACUUAAGC